UGUUUCCUCCUCUUUAAAAUAGAGAAUAUAGAUAGAAAGCAGUGCCAUUGUCUGUGAAGUAGUCUUUAGUGGCCAUUAGUGUUGAGGAUACAUGGAUUACUUGUUUUGUCAGUUUCAAGGACUUUCUUAUAUAGUCCAUGGGCAAUUCGAAAGUCAGCUAUAGUAUAUACUAUGUGUUGCAAGUGUGAUAUGAUCAUUUCCUUUAUGGUAAACUAUUACGCGUAUAUUGAACUGGGUUUGCCCUGGUGGCUGGAGGUCAAACUUCUACUUCUAGCAGUUUGAGAUUCUAUGUUGAUUUUUGGAUGGUGUAUCAUGGGCUUGGUUAUUACAAUAUUGGUGGAUUUUUUUUCCAUUUUUUAUUUAAAAAAUGAUCAUAUUUAUUGUAGGCUCAGGCUGAAUUUUGGAAAAAGCAAAAGGGUAAAUCAAUCAAGGGAGACGAACUUAGCCCUCUGGAUUUUUUAUUUUGCCGCAUCUUUUCAAGUGCCCAUCAUAAACAAGAAACAUAAAAAUCCAAGAUUCUUUUUACUAAUAAAAUCAUGAAUUUUGUAAUUAUAAAAAGUAUGAUAUGUUUUUUUUCUUUAUUUUCAGAAUGUAUUUUUUAUUUGUAUAUACUACAUAAUCAAAUAAUAUACAUUAAAAAAAUUAAUCAUCUAAUACAUCAAUACGUAUUUCUAGAUAAAUUUAUAUAUAGUUUUUAGAGUAGCAAUACAUAAUAUAUAAUUAGGUGUUACGUACUCAGCAAAUUAAUCAACAAGCAAGUCGAUAUGCAUAUUUAAAUCAAUUGAUGCACAGUUUUCAGAACAUAAAGUUUGUCAAUACAUAGUAUACGAUCUGGUGAUACAUAUUUAGUAUUAGCCAUCUAGCAAUGCAAUACACAGUUUCAAGUAGAUUGAUAUAUAAUUUUCAGAAUAUCAUAUUUAUUAGCAUACACUACAUAAUCGAGUGAUACACACUCAUCGAUCUUUCGGCAUAUAUAUUAUAAUUUUUUUUAAUAUGCACUCAAUAGUGAUCCAAUGCAUAUCU
rnacentral:lncRNA from 1 species